AUCUUCAGUGGAAUGGGAACCAACGAUACCUUUUAAGCAGAGGAGUGAUGUGAUCAGAUCUAGUUAGACACAAGAUUCUGCAAUUAUCAUAGAAGAAAAUGAAUCUAUUCACUGAGGUUUGAGAAACUAUGGACAAGGUUGUCAACUCCAUGGGAAAAUGAACUGCAUUUUUCUCUGAAGCCUAAUGUUUAAAUAACAACAUUCUUACUCUCUCAGUAUGAGUAACAAUAAUAAUUUAGUAACAGUAAGCAAAUAAUAUUGCAAACUGAAGGAAAUUCCAUACCUGAGACACUUUGCCUAUUGGAAUCUGAGUCCCCGUUACUGGAAUUAGAAUUGUUGGAAGAGUUGUUGUCAACCCCUCCCAGAAGGGGGCGCAAGUGGCUUACUGAGACUUGUUCAAUGAAUGAAGUUCCAUAUUUGCGAAAAUACCACCAUUCAAAUAUC